rnacentral:misc_RNA from 1 species
AACACUGUUAACCUGCGGUACCUGCGGAGGGAUCAUUAUUGAAAUCUAAAUCUAACCAGGAGAGAUUGAGAGGGGGAAACUUCUCUUGUCUUUCUUGGACAACCAACCAACACACAUGACUAGGAAAACAGUGAUGGAUAAUCAGAGAGAGAGCUGAUUUGGGCCUCUAUGGGGGCAACUCUCUCUCUCGCACUCAGAAGUUCUUGUCUGAUAAGUAGCUUACUGAUUUGGAGUUACUAC